rnacentral:rRNA from 1 species
CACGCCGUAAACGAUGGAUACUAGCUGUUGGGGGCAACUUCAGUGGCUAAGCGAAAGUGAUAAGUAUCCCACCUGGGGAGUACGUUCGCAAGAAUGAAACUCAAAGGAAUUGACGGGGGCCCGCACAAGCGGUGGAGCAUGUGGUUUAAUUCGAUGAUACGCGAGGAACCUUACCAAGGCUUAAAUGUAGACUGACCGGGUUGGAAACAGACUUUUCGCAAGACAGUUUACAAGGUGC